UGCGUAGGCGGCGGGGUAAGUCAGGUGUGAAAUCUCGGGGCUCAACCCCGAAACUGCACUUGAUACUGCCUUGCUCGAGUACUGGAGAGGAGACUGGAAUUUACGGCGUAGCAGUGAAAUGCGUAGAUAUCGUAAGGAAGACCAGUGGCGAAGGCGAGUCUCUGGACAGUUACUGACGCUGAGGACAAGGCCAGGGGAGCAAAC
rnacentral:rRNA from 1 species